rnacentral:rRNA from 1 species
CCGGCGACCGGCGGACGGGUGCGUAACGCGUAUGUAACCUACCCUUGACAGGGGGAUAACAUCGAGAAAUUGGUACUAAUACCCCAUAACAUCACCGGAGGCAUCUUCGGUGGUUGAAAACUCAGGUGGUCAGAGAUGGACAUGCGUUGUAUUAGCUAGUUGGUGAGGUAACGGCUCACCAAGGCGACGAUACAUAGGGGGACUGAGAGGUCAACCCCCCACAUUGGUACUGAGACACGGACCAAACUCCUACGGGAGGCAGCAG